AACGUAGGUUCCGAGCGUUAUCCGGAUUUACUGGGCGUAAAGCGCGUUCAGGCGGUUUGGCAAGUCGGGCAUGAAAUCUCUCGGCUCAACCGGGAGAGGUUGUCCGAUACUGCUGGACUUGAGGGCAGUAGAGGGUGGUGGAAUUCCGGGUGUAGUGGUGAAAUGCGUAGAUAUCGAGAGGAACACCGGUGGCGAAGGCGGCUUCCUGGACAAUGACUGACGCUGAGACGCGAAAGCGUGGGGAGCAAACAGG
rnacentral:rRNA from 1 species